rnacentral:rRNA from 1 species
UACGGAAGGUGCAAGCGUUGUUCGGAAUGACUGGGCGUAAAGAGCACGUAGGCGGGCUUGUAAGUCGGAUGUGAAAUCCCCAGGCUUAACCUGGGAACAGCACCCGAUACUGCGAGUCUUGAAUGCUUGAGAGGUUGGUAGAAUUCCUGGUGUAGGAGUGAAAUCCGUAGAUAUCAGGAGGAAUAUCGGAGGCGAAGGCGGCCAACUGGCGAUGCAUUGACGCUGAGGUGCGAAAGCGUGGGGAGCAAACAGG